rnacentral:rRNA from 1 species
GACGAACGCUGGCGGCGUGCUUAACACAUGCAAGUCGAACGGAAAGGCCCUGCUUUUGUGGGGUGCUCGAGUGGCGAACGGGUGAGUAACACGUGAGUAACCUGCCCUUGACUUUGGGAUAACUUCAGGAAACUGGGGCUAAUACCGGAUAGGAGCUCCUGCUGCAUGGUGGGGGUUGGAAAGUUUCGGCGGUUGGGGAUGGACUCGCGGCUUAUCAGCUUGUUGGUGGGGUAGUGGCUUUCCAAGGCUUUGACGGGUAGCCGGCCUGAGAGGGUGACCGGCCACAUUGGGACUGAGAUACGGCCCAGACUCCUACGGGAGGCAGCAGUGGGGAAUAUUGCACAAUGGGCGGAAGCCUGAUGCAGCAACGCCGCGUGCGGGAUGACGGCCUUCGGGUUGUAAGCCGCUUUCGCCUGUGACGAAGCGUGAGUGACGGUAAUGGGUAAAGAAGCACCGGCUAACUACGUG